CUGCAAACAAACAUUUUUUAUAUCAUCAAAUUCAAAUAUAUUUCAUUUUGAUCAUAUAUAAUUACUUGCUAAGAGGGUAACACUCACUCACUCCGGUUCUAUAUAUGUAUAAAAUCCAAUGAAAUAUUAAACUUACCGAAGCGGUGACAAAGACAAGGAGGGCGGAAGCAACAAUGGAUCCGAGGAGUUGAGCGAUGAUGUAAACGAUACCACGGAGGAGGGUGAUGUUACCACCAACGAAGGCACCGAAGGUGACAGCGGGGUUGACAUGUCCACCGGAGAUGUUAGCACCAACGGAGACAGCAACAAAGAGAGCGAAUGCAUGGGCGAUGGAGGCAGAGAUGAGACCGGCAGGGGUGGCAGCACCGUCGUUGGUAAGCUUGUUGUAUGCGAUACCGGAACCUGAACCGGCAAAGACAAAGAUGAAGGUUGAGAUGAACUCAGCCAAACCUGCUUUCAAGGUGUCUGGGUGAGUUGCCUCUUGAGGUGUUCCUACGGCGAUGUUUCUGAUAGGCAUGUUGAAAUAAUCGCUUUUGUUAACAAACACUCACUCUUUUUUUUUAGUUACUGUGAAAGCGCUUUCUG
rnacentral:lncRNA from 1 species